rnacentral:rRNA from 1 species
GUGCCAGCAGUCGCGGUAACACGUAGGAGGCGAGCGUUAUUCGGAUUUACUGGGCGUAAAGCGUGCGUAGGCGGUUAUUUAAGUCAGAUGUGAAAGCCCCGGGCUUAACCUGGGAACUGCAUUUGAUACUGGAUGACUAGAGUUGAGUAGAGGGGAGUGGGAUUUCAGGCGUAGCGGUGAAAUGCGUAGAGAUCUGAAGGAACACCAGUGGCGAAGGCGGCCCCCUGGACUCAAACUGACGCUGAGGUACGAAAGCGUGGGUAGCAAACAGGAUUAGAUACCCUGGUAGUCCACGCCCUAA